UAAACCGUCACAAUUUAGCGACGAUUUGAAACCGUCACUAAAUUACUAGUUCUUAUGAUAGUUUUUAGACAUAUUUAAUGACUAUUUAAACUGUCAUAAUAUUUUUAGUGACAACACCAGUAACACCAACAAAUC